rnacentral:rRNA from 1 species
GGGUANNAGCCUACCAAGGCGACGAUCAGUAGCUGGUCUGAGAGGAUGAUCAGCCACACUGGGACUGAGACACGGCCCAGACUCCUACGNGAGGCAGCAGUGGGGAAUUUUCCGCAAUGGGCGAAACGUGACGGAGCAAUACCGCGUGAGGGAGGAAGGCUCUUGGGUCGUAAACCUCUUUUCUCAGGGAAGAAAAAAAUGAGGUACCUGAGGAAUAAGNNUCGGCUAACUCCGUGCUAGCAGCCGCGGUAAUACGGAGGAUGCAAGCGUUAUCCGGAAUGAUUGGGCGUAAAGGGUCUGUAGGUGGUGCUGUAAGUCUGCUGUUAAAGAGUCACGCUCAACGUGAUAAGAGCAGUGGAAACUACAGGACUAGAGUGCGUUCGGGGCAGAAGGAAUUCCUGGUGUAGCGAUGAAAUGCGUAGAUAUCAGGAAGAACACCGGUGGCGAACGGUUUGCUAGGCCGCAACUGACACUGAGGGACGAAAGCUAGGGGAGCGAAUGGGAUUAGAUACCCCAGUAGUCCUAGCCGUAAACGAUGGAUACUAGGCGUGGCUUGUAUCGACCCGAGCCGUGCCGGAGCUAACGCGUUAAGUAUCCCGCCUGGGAGUACGCACGCAAGGUUGAAACUCAAAGGAAUUGACGGGGGCCCGCACAAGCGUGGAGUAUGUGGUUUAAUUCGAUGCAACCGAAGAACCUUACCAAGACUUGACAUGUCGCGAAUCUUUCUGNA